rnacentral:rRNA from 1 species
GACGAACGCUGGCGGCGUGCUUAACACAUGCAAGUCGAACGGUAAGGCCCUUCGGGGUACACGAGUGGCGAACGGGUGAGUAACACGUGGGUGAUCUGCCCUGCACUUCGGGAUAAGCCUGGGAAACUGGGUCUAAUACCGGAUAGGACUCCUGGCUUCAUGGUUGGGGGUGGAAAGCUUUUGCGGUGUGGGAUGGGCCCGCGGCCUAUCAGCUUGUUGGUGGGGUAAUGGCCUACCAAGGCGAAGAAGGGUAGCCGGCCUGAGAGGGUGACCGGUCACACUGGGACUGAGGGACGGCCCAGACUCCUACGGGGGGCAGCAGUGGGGAAUAUUGCACAAUGGGCGCGAGCCUGAUGCAGCGAUGCCGCGUGAGGGAUGACGGCCUUCGGGUUGUAAACCUCUUUCAGCUAUGACGAAGCGCAAGUGACGGUAGUAGCAGAAGAAGGACCGGCCAACUACGUGCCAGCCGCCGCGGUAA